UCUUGCAAGUCGAGCGGACAGAUGGGAGCUUGCUCCCUGAUGUUAGCGGCGGACGGGUGAGUAACACGUGGGUAACCUGCCUGUAAGACUGGGAUAACUCCGGGAAACCGGGGCUAAUACCGGAUGGUUGUUUGAACCGCAUGGUUCAGACAUAAAAGGUGGCUUCGGCUACCACUUACAGAUGGACCCGCGGCGCAUUAGCUAGUUGGUGAGGUAACGGCUCACCAAGGCGACGAUGCGUAGCCGACCUGAGAGGGUGAUCGGCCACACUGGGACUGAGACACGGCCCAGACUCCUACGGGAGGCAGCAGUAGGGAAUCUUCCGCAAUGGACGAAAGUCUGACGGAGCAACGCCGCGUGAGUGAUGAAGGUUUUCGGAUCGUAAAGCUCUGUUGUUAGGGAAGAACAAGUGCCGUUCAAAUAGGGCGGCACCUUGACGGUACCUAACCAGAAAGCCACGGCUAACUACGUGCCAGCAGCCGCGGUAAUACGUAGGUGGCAAGCGUUGUCCGGAAUUAUUGGGCGUAAAGGGCUCGCAGGCGGUUUCUUAAGUCUGAUGUGAAAGCCCCCGGCUCAACCGGGGAGGGUCAUUGGAAACUGGGGAACUUGAGUGCAGAAGAGGAGAGUGGAAUUCCACGUGUAGCGGUGAAAUGCGUAGAGAUGUGGAGGAACACCAGUGGCGAAGGCGACUCUCUGGUCUGUAACUGACGCUGAGGAGCGAAAGCGUGGGGAGCGAACAGGAUUAGAUACCCUGGUAGUCCACGCCGUAAACGAUGAGUGCUAAGUGUUAGGGGGUUUCCGCCCCUUAGUGCUGCAGCUAACGCAUUAAGCACUCCGCCUGGGGAGUACGGUCGCAAGACUGAAACUCAAGGGAAUUGACGGGGGGCCCGCACAAGCGGUGGAGCAUGGGGUUUAAUUCGAAGCAACGCGAAGAACCUUACCAGGUCUUGGACAUCCUCUGACAUCCUAGGAGAUAGGACGUCCCUUUCGGGGGCAGGGGUGGACAGGUGGUGCAUGGUUGUCGUCAGCUCGGUUGUCGUGGAGAUGUGGGUUAGUCCCGCAACGGAGGGCGCAUCCUGGAUCUAGGUGCAGCAUUCAGUGGCACUCUAAGGGUGACUGCGGUUACAAAUCCGGGAGAAGGGUG
rnacentral:rRNA from 1 species